AUUGAACGCUGGCGGCAGGCUUAACACAUGCAAGUCGAGCGGUAACAGAGAGAAGCUUGCUUCUCUGCUGACGAGCGGCGGACGGGUGAGUAAUGCCUAGGAAUCUGCCUAGUAGUGGGGGAUAACUUGCCGAAAGGUAAGCUAAUACCGCAUACGUCCUACGGGAGAAAGGAGGGGACCUUCGGGCCUUUCGCUAUUAGAUGAGCCUAGGUCGGAUUAGUUAGUUGGUGAGGUAAUGGCUCACCAAGACCGCGAUCCGUAACUGGUCUGAGAGGAUGAUCAGUCACACGGGAACUGAGACACGGUCCAGACUCCUACGGGAGUCAGCAGUGGGGAAUAUUGGACAAUGGGGGGAACCCUGAUCCAGCCAUGCCGCGUGUGUGAAGAAGGUCUUAGGAUUGUAAAGCACUUUAAGUUGGGAGGAAGAGCAGUUAACUAAUAUUUGACUGUUUUGACGUUACCGACAGAAUAAGCACCGGCUAACUUCGUGUCAGCAGCCGCCGUAA
rnacentral:rRNA from 1 species